AUCCGCAAAGAUCUACAGUUAACCACGCCGACGAACAACGCUACCCACCUCUCUCCCAUCGGCUUCCGCCGUAGCCACCGCGCUAGAUGAGCGGUUGAGCCGCGAAAUGACUCCAAGCACCUCACCGGCGUCCUCAACCGAGAGGCCCUGCUACGAAGCUUCUCUUCCGUCAAACCAGAACCAUAGCUACGCCGGCCUAAUUAUAUUUGUAAACAGAAUCGUUUUAAAAGGGCUAAGGAUCCUUUAAAAAUAGGCAAAAGCCCAUGAGCCCAUCUUGGCUUUGUUCCCAAAUUAGGUUUUCGUAAAAUAAAAGAAAGAUAACAUCUUUCAUAUCCACCCACACACCUUCGUCUUCUUCUCCUCUCGAACAGAUCUGAAAAAUAAUGCCGUGUUCUAAACUUUCGAAUUUGGCACUCUCUUUCGAUUCCGAUGGGCUGCGUCCUCCAGAAACGCCGUUCAGCCGCUGCGUUAUAGUCGUCCGUCGAUGUUCAGGCCAAUGGAGCCGAUCAUUUUCUCUAUUCGCGGAGAGUCAUCGUUCAUCGUCGAUGUCACCAUUCUAAUUUCUUCCUAUACUCCUCUCAACAAUGGCGGCACCAAAUUUUAGAUGCGUCUCUAACAAAUCACGACCACAUGUAUUUCUUCGCACUUUGAUAACAGUUAUUUUGUUUCUGUAAAUGAAUAUAUAGUUUUUAAAUGAAUAUUGGUAAUCAAUAUUCAAAAGCUGCGGAUAUCACAUAUCAUUUAUAGUCUCUCCUCUUAAAGAAAAGCAACACUUGUUCGCGUUCCUACUAACUAAUUAGCUAUUUAUGAGAAAUGACUUAUUCA